GGUGUAUGAAAAUAUUUUAUGAUUUAGAUGUCAGUCUGGCAUGUUUCAUUUGACCGUGACCAUUUUUAAUGGUUUCAUUGCUCAAUGUUAAGUUUUUGAUUUUGGUCUGAUUUUUUUAUACUAUAAGCAAUAGGUCAACUAUAUUUGGUGUAUGGAAUGAUUGUAAGGUUUAUGUGUCCAACCAGAAAUUGUCAUUAUUUUGUUUCUUAGAAACUACAUGCAAUAGAUCAACUAUAUUUAAGGGCAUACCAUAGUUACAAGGGAGGUAAUGGCGUUGCUAUCGUGAAUUGUUAUUUUCACGACGUCAAACUAUGACUUAUCGGGAAAAGAUUCAGUUUUCAACUGAUUUUUAUCAUUCAACUUUUUUAACUAGAAAAUAAGUUCAUGGACCCCUCUUUUUUAAAAUGCCAUUUGGUUUGAUUACGCGAGAAGAUUAUUUUUGCCAAUUUUCAUGAAAACGUAAAUAGUGCAAUUUUUUAAAAUUUAAUAAAUAUACAGCAAAAA
rnacentral:lncRNA from 1 species